rnacentral:miRNA from 1 species
CAUGGGUUGCAGCAGUACUACGUGAAACUGAAGGACAACGAGAAGAACCGGAAGCUCUUUGACCUUCUGGAUGUCCUUGAGUUCAACCAGGUCAGUUAGAGGUCUGGUAG